rnacentral:rRNA from 1 species
GACGAACGCUGGCGGCGUGCCUAAUACAUGCAAGUAGAACGCUGAAGAGAGGAGCUUACUCUUCUUGGAUGAGUUGCGAACGGGUGAGUAACGCGUAGGUAACCUGCCUUGUAGCGGGGGAUAACUAUUGGAAACGAUAGCUAAUACCGCAUAACAAUGGAUGACACAUGUCAUUUAUUUGAAAGGGGCAAUUGCUCCACUACAAGAUGGACCUGCGUUGUAUUAGCUAGUAGGUGAGGUAAUGGCUCACCUAGGCGACGAUACAUAGCCGACCUGAGAGGGUGAUCGGCCACACUGGGACUGAGACACGGCCCAGACUCCUACGGGAGGCAGCAGUAGGGAAUCUUCGGCAAUGGGGGCAACCCUGACCGAGCAACGCCGCGUGAGUGAAGAAGGUUUUCGGAUCGGAAAGCUCUGUUGUAAGUCAAGAACGGGUGUGAGAGUGGAAAGUUCACACUGUGACGGUAGCUUACCAGAAAGGGACGGCUAACUACGUG